rnacentral:rRNA from 1 species
CCUACGGGUGGCACCAGUGGGGAAUUUUCCGCAAUGGGCGAAAGCCUGACGGAGCAACGCCGCGUGAGGGUGAAGGCCUCUGGGCUGUAAACCUCUUUCCUCAAGGGAGAAGAUCUGACGGUACUUGAGGAAUAAGCCACGGCUAAUUCCGUGCCAGCAGCCGCGGUAAUACGGGAGUGGCAAGCGUUAUCCGGAAUUAUUGGGCGUAAAGCGUCCGCAGGCGGCCCUCCAAGUCUGCUGUUAAAACGUGGAGCUUAACUCCAUCAUGGCAGUGGAAACUGUUGGGCUUGAGUGUGGUAGGGGCAGAGGGAAUUCCCGGUGUAGCGGUGAAAUGCGUAGAUAUCGGGAAGAACACCAGUGGCGAAGGCGCUCUGCUGGGCCAUAACUGACGCUCAUGGACGAAAGCCAGGGGAGCGAAAGGGAUUAGAUACCCGGGUAGUC